AGGUACCUGACAAUACAAAGAGGAGGUUGUACUUACAGUGCCAGGUGCAUAAGACGCUGGGAAGAAAGACGACGAGGUGAACUGACCUGAACUGGCAAAAGGAAUAUUCCGUACCAUAGAUCAUCAUCUUCAGUAAAUGAACUUGGAGGCAACUGGCCAGGAUGAGCUAACUGCUGCUUAGAGAUGGGCUGGGCAUCAGUCAAUGGGUGGUGAGCAAUUGUACUGUGCAUCACUUACCUUUCUUGGCUUCCAUUUCUCUCUCUCUUUUUGUUUUCUCUAAUUUCAUUCUGCUGUAAAACUGUUCUACCUCAA